rnacentral:lncRNA from 1 species
UGAAUGUUUACCUUGCAUCCCAGGGAUGAAGCCCACUUGAUCAUGGUGGAUAAGCUUUUUGAUGUGUUGCUGAAUCCGGUUUGCCAGUAUUUUAUUGAGGAUUUUUGCAUCGAUGUUCAUCAGGGAUAUUGGUCUAAAAUUCUCUUUUUUUGUUGUAUCUCUGCCAGGCUUUGGUAUCAGGAUGAUGUUGGCCUCAUAAAAUGAGUUAGGGAGGAUUCCCUCUUUUUCUAUUGAUUGGAAUAGUUUCAGAAGGAAUGGUACCAACUCCUCCUUGUACCUCUGGUAGAAUUCAGCUGUGAAUCCAUCUGGUCCUGGACUUUUUUUGGUUGGUAGGCUAUUAAUUGUUGCCUCAAUUUCAGAGCCUGCUAUUGGUCUAUUCAGGGAUUCAACUUCUUCCUGGUUUAGUCUUGGAAGAGUGUAAGUGUCCAGGAAAUUAUCCAUUUCUUCUAGAUUUUCCAGUUCAUUUGCGUAGAGGUGUUUAUAGUAUUCUCUGAUGGUAGUUUGUAUUUCUGUGGGGUCGGUGGUGAUAUCCCCUUUAUCAUUUUUAAUUGCGUCGAUUUGAUUCUUCUCUAUUUUCUUCUUUAUUAGUCUUGCUAGUGGUCUGUCAAUUUUGUUGAUCUUUUCAAAAAACCAACUCCUGGAUUCAUUGAUUUUUUGGAGGGUUUUUUGUGUCUCUAUCUCCUUCAGUUCUGCUCUGAUCUUAGUUAUUUCUAGCCUUCUGCUAGCUUUCGAAUGUGUUUGCUCUUGCUUCUCUAAUUCUUUUAAUUGCGAUGUUAGAGUGUCAAUUUUAGAUCUUUCCUGCUUUCUCUUGUGGGCAUUUAGUGCUAUAAAUUUCCCUCUACACACUGCUUUAAAUGUGUCCCAGAGAUUCUGGUAUGUUGUAUCUUUGUUCUCAUUGGUUUCAAAGAACAUCUUUAUUUCUGCCUUCAUUUCGUUAUGUACCCAGUAGUCAUUCAGGAGCAGGUUGUUCAGUUUCCAUGUAGUUGAGCGGUUUUGAUUGAGUUUCUUAGUCCUGAGUUCUAGUUUGAUUGCACUGUGGUCUGAGAGACAGUUUGUAAUAAUUUCUGUUCUUGUACAUUUGCUGAGGAGUGCUUUACUUCCAAUUACGUGGUCAAUUUUGGAAUAAGUACGAUGUGGUGCUGAGAAGAAUGUAUAUUCUGUUGAUU